rnacentral:rRNA from 1 species
CCUACGGGAGGCUGCAGUGGGGAAUAUUGGACAAUGGGGGCAACCCUGAUCCAGCCAUGCCGCGUGUGUGAAGAAGGCCCUCGGGUUGUAAAGCACUUUCAGUGAGGAAGAACGCCUGGUGGUUAAUACCCAUCAGGAAAGACAUCACUCACAGAAGAAGCACCGGCUAACUCCGUGCCAGCAGCCGCGGUAAUACGGAGGGUGCGAGCGUUAAUCGGAAUUACUGGGCGUAAAGCGCGCGUAGGUGGCUUGAUAAGCCGGUUGUGAAAGCCCCGGGCUCAACCUGGGAACGGCAUCCGGAACUGUCGAGCUAGGGUGCAGGAGAGGAGGGUAGAAGUGGCGGUGGAGCGGUGAAAGGCGUAGAGAUCGGGAGGAAUAGCAGGGGCGAAGGCGGCCUUGUGGGCUGACACUGAGACGGGGGUGCGAGAGGGGGGGUAGCAAACAGGAUGAGAUACCGUGGUAGUG